rnacentral:rRNA from 1 species
CGGRGCACUGAUUAGUGGCGAACGGGUGAGUAACGCGUGGGAAUCUACCCAGUAGUGGGGGAUAACCCUYCGAAAGGAGGGCUAAUACCGCAUAAGUCCUACGGGGUAAAGAUGGCCUCUUURCAAUGCUAUCGCUUCUGGAUGAGCCCGCGUCCUAUUAGCUAGUUGGUGAGGUAAUGGCUUACCAAGGCUACAAUGGGUAGCCGGUCUGAGAGGAUGAACGGCCACACUGGAACUGAGACACGGUCCAGACUCCUACGGGAGGCAGCAGUGGGGAAUUUUGCGCAAUGGGGGAAACCCUGACGCAGCAACGCCGCGUGGACGAUGAAGGCCUUCGGGUCGUAAAGUCCUGUUCUGGGGGAAGAAACAGUAGGAAGCCAAUACCUUCCUACCUUGACGGUACCCCAGGAGAAAGCUCCGGCCAAUUAUGUGCCAGCAGCCGCGGUAAUACA